UAAGAUUUAGUUAAUAUAUAAUUUUGGUAUGUCAAGCCAAGGUAAUGGAUUUUUUCCUUAGUCUUAA
rnacentral:tRNA from 1 species